rnacentral:rRNA from 1 species
CCUACGGGUGGCUGCAGUGAGGAAUAUUGGUCAAUGGGCGCGAGCCUGAACCAGCCAAGUAGCGUGAAGGAUGACUGCCCUACGGGUUGUAAACUUCUUUUAUAAAGGAAUAAAGUGAGGCACGUGUGCCUUUUUGUAUGUACUUUAUGAAUAAGGAUCGGCUAACUCCGUGCCAGCAGCCGCGGUAAUACGGAGGAUCCGAGCGUUAUCCGGAUUUAUUGGGUUUAAAGGGAGCGCAGAUGGGUUGUUAAGUCAGUUGUGAAAGUUUGCGGCUCAACCGUGAAAUUGCAAUGGAUACUGGCGGCCUUGAGUGCAGUUGAGGUAGGCGGAAUUCGUGGUGUAGCGGUGAAAUGCUUAGAUAGCACGAAGAACUCCGAUUGCGAAGGCAGCCUACUAAACUGCCACUGACGUUGAUGCUCGAAAGUGUGGGUAUCAAACAGGAUUAGAUACCCUAGUAGUC